rfam:Triticum aestivum genome assembly, contig: Triticum_aestivum_CS42_TGACv1_scaffold_487186_6AS
CAUAUACUCUCCCCGUCGGAAAAUACUUGUCAUCAAAAUGAAUAAAAAAGAAUGUAUCUAGAACUAAUAUACAUCUAGAUACAUCCUCUUUUAUUUAUUUUAAUGACAAAUAUUUCUGGACGGAGGGAGUAUGUU